GAAACAACUCCAAAUGAUCUAACCCUCAUUGAUAUUGUCUCUUCAAUACUUUUUGCGUCAGACUCCCAUACCCACAGUCAGAGACUCAGCAUCCCCUAUCGUCCUCUCACUGCUCCGCCAUCGUCGCUGUCGGAUAGCACUAACCCUGGCUUGCGUCCUGCGACCCUAUCCUCUUCCUCUCCCUUUCUUGUAGCGGCUUUCUGUCUUUGUCGUCCUCCUCGGCAAGGCCAGCAACAGGCCAUCGUCCUUUACGACUCCACACAUGCCGCAGUAACUCUUCGGCAACAGUGUAGUACGUUGUCAUUCUCGUAGUGCCUCUCUCUCUCUCUCUCUCUCUCUCUCUCUCUCUCCAUCGUCCUCCUUGCAGUCUACCACUCCAACAUCAACUCAUCAAGAAUGGAGCCUAUGAGUCAGAGGCAAAUAAGGUAGGUGAAUGAGCAAGCACGACUUAAACCUUAGGCCAGUAAAACAGAAGCAGCAGCCAAAAAGGCCCCUCCUUGCAUCACCUUUUGGAUUCAAUAAUGAUGAAGAGAAUGAUGUCAAGAGAGAAAUCGCUCUCCAAACUAGCAAGAAAAAGACUUUUAAGGACGUUGAGGAGCCACAAAAGAAAGCCUUGGAAGAUGAUCCAAUUGUAUUUAAUUAUAAUGGAGUCUAUGACAAAAUGAAAGAGAAAGUUGCCCGCCCAUUGAUACAAGAUUGCGAAGAGAGAAGAGUAUGUCAAAGUAUAUCCAAAAUCUGAUUAAAAAGGAAAAAGAGUGGGAACAGUAUUGCCAUAUUCUUGAGCUUCCCCUGACAUGAUUUUCACAACGAUAUGCUUCGAAGCAUGGAUGAUGAAUUUCGUGACAUUAUUGGUGUUAGUUUAAUCACAGUAUAAGUAAUAACAUUGGUGAAACUAAAGGUAGAACUGGUAGACAUGUUCUUUAUGCAAUUGAUAUGCCAAGUCUUAGGUAUUGUUUGUAUUUUUUAUUUUUUAAAAAUGUGUAAUGUAUAAUAAAUUUUAUAGAAACAUGAUCACAUUUGUGCAGCCAAAUUGAUACAUCUCUACAGAAGUGAGUGAAUACUUACUAUUAUAUG